ACUUAAAUUGAAGAGUUUGAUCAUGGCUCAGAUUGAACGCUGGCGGCAGGCCUAACACAUGCAAGUCGAGCGGUAGCACAGAGAGCUUGCUCUCGGGUGACGAGCGGCGGACGGGUGAGUAAUGUCUGGGAAACUGCCUGAUGGAGGGGGAUAACUACUGGAAACGGUAGCUAAUACCGCAUAACGUCGCAAGACCAAAGUGGGGGACCUUCGGGCCUCAUGCCAUCAGAUGUGCCCAGAUGGGAUUAGCUAGUAGGUGGGGUAACGGCUCACCUAGGCGACGAUCCCUAGCUGGUCUGAGAGGAUGACCAGCCACACUGGAACUGAGACACGGUCCAGACUCCUACGGGAGGCAGCAGUGGGGAAUAUUGCACAAUGGGCGCAAGCCUGAUGCAGCCAUGCCGCGUGUGUGAAGAAGGCCUUCGGGUUGUAAAGCACUUUCAGCGGGGAGGAAGGCGAUAAGGUUAAUAACCUCAUCGAUUGACGUUACCCGCAGAAGAAGCACCGGCUAACUCCGUGCCAGCAGCCGCGGUAAUACGGAGGGUGCAAGCGUUAAUCGGAAUUACUGGGCGUAAAGCGCACGCAGGCGGUCUGUCAAGUCGGAUGUGAAAUCCCCGGGCUCAACCUGGGAACUGCAUUCGAAACUGGCAGGCUAGAGUCUUGUAGAGGGGGGUAGAAUUCCAGGUGUAGCGGUGAAAUGCGUAGAGAUCUGGAGGAAUACCGGUGGCGAAGGCGGCCCCCUGGACAAAGACUGACGCUCAGGUGCGAAAGCGUGGGGAGCAAACAGGAUUAGAUACCCUGGUAGUCCACGCCGUAAACGAUGUCGAUUUGGAGGUUGUGCCCUUGAGGCGUGGCUUCCGGAGCUAACGCGUUAAAUCGACCGCCUGGGGAGUACGGCCGCAAGGUUAAAACUCAAAUGAAUUGACGGGGGCCCGCACAAGCGGUGGAGCAUGUGGUUUAAUUCGAUGCAACGCGAAGAACCUUACCUGGUCUUGACAUCCACAGAACUUUCCAGAGAUGGAUUGGUGCCUUCGGGAACUGUGAGACAGGUGCUGCAUGGCUGUCGUCAGCUCGUGUUGUGAAAUGUUGGGUUAAGUCCCGCAACGAGCGCAACCCUUAUCCUUUGUUGCCAGCGGUUAGGCCGGGAACUCAAAGGAGACUGCCAGUGAUAAACUGGAGGAAGGUGGGGAUGACGUCAAGUCAUCAUGGCCCUUACGACCAGGGCUACACACGUGCUACAAUGGCAUAUACAAAGAGAAGCGACCUCGCGAGAGCAAGCGGACCUCAUAAAGUAUGUCGUAGUCCGGAUUGGAGUCUGCAACUCGACUCCAUGAAGUCGGAAUCGCUAGUAAUCGUAGAUCAGAAUGCUACGGUGAAUACGUUCCCGGGCCUUGUACACACCGCCCGUCACACCAUGGGAGUGGGUUGCAAAAGAAGUAGGUAGCUUAACCUUCGGGAGGGCGCUUACCACUUUGUGAUUCAUGACUGGGGUGAAGUCGUAACAAGGUAACCGUAGGGGAACCUGCGGUUGGAUCACCUCCUUACCUUAAAGAA
rnacentral:rRNA from 1 species